AUGCCGGUGCCGCCGCCGGAUAUCCUCCAUGAUCUCGGCCAGCUCCUCUCCUCGGGAGAAGGGGCGGACGUGACGUUCGAGGUCGGCGGUGAGAUCUUCGCCGCACACAGGUGUGUCCUUGCCGCUCGUUCCUCCGUCUUCAGGGCGGAGCUUCUGGGUCCAAUGAAGGAGAGCACAUCAAUGUGCAUGCAGAUAGAGGACAUGGAGCCAAAAAUAUUUCAGGCAUUGCUUCAUUUUAUCUACACCGAUUCGGUGCCUGAGAUCGACGAUGCUGACGCAGUGGGGAUGGUCCAGCAUUUGCUUGUCGCCGCGGACAGGUACAGCCUCAAGAGACUGAAGUUGACCUGCGAAGACAAACUAUGCAGUUACAUCAACACUAGCACAGUGGCCACUACAGUGGCACUCGCCGAGCAACAUGCUUGUCCUGCACUCAAGGAGGAAUGCUUCAGAUUCCUCGAGUCCUGUAACAAUAGCAUGCUGGAUCUGAUCACACGGAGUUCUGACUUUGAGCAUCUAGCAAGAAGUUGCCCGUCUAUUAUGAAGGAGCUUAUUCCCAAACUUGCUCGCAAACCCCCUUGUGUAAAAAAAUAUAGCAACAUGUAA
rnacentral:rRNA from 1 species